rnacentral:rRNA from 1 species
AUACGGAGGAUCCGAGCGUUAUCCGGAUUUAUUGGGUUUAAAGGGUGCGCAGGCGGCCAUUUAAGUCAGCGGUUAAAUCGAGGGGCUCAACCCCAUUCUGCCGUUGAUACUGGGUGGCUUGAUUGCGGUCGAGGUUGGCGGAAUUCGUUGUGUAGCGGUGAAAUGCAUAGAUAUGACGAAGAACACCGAUUGCGUAGGCAGCUGACCAGACCGCAAAUGACGCUCAUGCACGAAAGUGCGGGGAUCGAACAGGAUUAGAUACCCUGGUAGUCCGCACAGUAAACGAUGAAUACUUGUUUUCGGCGAUAUAAUGUCGGAGGCAAAGCGAAAGCGAUAAGUAUUCCACCUGGGGAGUACGCCGGCAACGGUGAAACUCAAAUGAAUUGACGGGG